GACGAACGCUGGCGGCGUGCCUAAUACAUGCAAGUCGAGCGAAGUUUUUCUGGUGCUUGCACUAGAAACACUUAGCGGCGCACGGGUGAGUAACACGUAAAGAACCUGCCUCAUAGACUGGGACAACUAUUGGAAACGAUAGCUAAUACCGGAUAACAGUAUUUCUCGCAUGAGAGAUAUUUAAAAGUUGGUUAUGCUAACACUAUGAGAUGGCUUUGCGGUGCAUUAGCUAGUUGGUGGGGUAAAGGCCCACCAAGGCGACGAUGCAUAGCCGACCUGAGAGGGUGAUCGGCCACACUGGGACUGAGACACGGCCCAGACUCCUACGGGAGGCAGCAGUAGGGAAUCUUCCGCAAUGGGCGAAAGCCUGACGGAGCAACGCCGCGUGAGUGAAGAAGGAUUUCGGUUCGUAAAGCUCUGUUGUUAGGGAAGAAUGGAUAUGUAGUAACUAUACAUGUAAGAGACGGUACCUAACCAGAAAGCCACGGCUAACUACGUG
rnacentral:rRNA from 1 species